rnacentral:sRNA from 1 species
CAUUGAUGUAAGUUAAAAAUAAGGUUGA